rnacentral:rRNA from 1 species
UACGUAGGGGGGCGAGCGUUUGUCCGGAUUUAUUGGGCGUAAAGAGCUCGUAGGCGGUUUGGUAAGUCGGGUGUGAAAUCUCCACGCUCAACGUGGAGGGGCCACUCGAUACUGCCAUGACUCGAGUCCGGUAGAGGAGUGUGGAAUUCCCGGUGUAGCAGUGAAAUGCGUAGAUAUCGGGAGGAACAUCUGUGGCGAAGGCGACACCCUGGACCAGCACUGACACUGAGGCACGAAAGCGUGGGGAGCAAACAGG